UACGUAGGGGGCAAGCGUUGUCCGGAUUUAUUGGGCGUAAAGAGCGUGUAGGCGGCCAUUCAGGUCAGCUGUGAAAACUCGAGGCUCACCUCGAGACGUCGGUUGAAACCGUAUGGCUAGAGUCCGGAAGAGGAGAGUGGAAUUCCCCGGUGUAGCGGUGAAAUGCGCAGAUAUCGGGAAGAACACCCGUGGCGAAGGCGGCUCUCUGGGACGGUACUGACGCUGAGACGCGAAAGCGUGGGGAGCGAACAGG
rnacentral:rRNA from 1 species